CCUACGGGCGGCAGCAGUGAGGAAUAUUGGUCAAUGGGCGAGAGCCUGAACCAGCCAAGUCGCGUGAGGGAAGACGGUCCUAUGGAUUGUAAACCUCUUUUGUCGGGGAGUAAAAGAUGCCACGCGUGGCGUUCUGAGAGUACCCGAAGAAAAAGCAUCGGCUAACUCCGUGCCAGCAGCCGCGGUAAUACGGAGGAUGCGAGCGUUAUCCGGAUUUAUUGGGUUAAAAGGGUGCGCAGGCGGAAGGUCAAGUCAGCGGUAAAAUUGUGGGGCUCAACCUCAUGGUGCCGUUGAAACUGGUAGUCUUGAGUGAGUGAGAAGUAUGCGGAAUGCGUGGUGUAGCGGUGAAAUGCAUAGAUAUCACGCAGAACUCCGAUUGCGAAGGCAGCAUACCGGCGCUCAACUGACACUCAUGCACGAAAGUGUGGGUAUCAAACAGGAUUAGAUACCCUUGUAGUC
rnacentral:rRNA from 1 species